rnacentral:rRNA from 1 species
CUAUACAUGACUCUGUGCAUAUCAAUAAGCGGAGGAAAAGAAACUGACAAGGAUUCCCUUAGUAACGGCGAGUGAAGCGGGAAGAGCUCAAAUUUGAAAUCUUCAAGGUCUUUACCUUGACGAAUUGUAGUUUAAAGAAGUGUUUUCUGCUGAAGUUUUGGUAAAAGUUCUUUGGAUAGGACAUCAUAGAGGGUGAGAAUCCCGUAUUUGACCAUUAUUUUCAGCUUUGUGAUACACUUUCAAAGAGUCGGAUUGUUUGGGUAAUGCAGUCCAAAAUGGGUGGUAAAUUUCAUCUAAAGCUAAAUAUUGGCGAGAGACCGAUAGCGAACAAGUACCGUGAGGGAAAGAUGAAAAGAACUUUGAAAAGAGAGUUAAACAGUACGUGAAAUUGUCAAAAGGGAAGCGUUUGACACCAGUGUUGUUUUCUCGAAAAUCAAUUAAAAAUGGCUCGAUUUUGUAUUGCUUGAGACCUUAAAAGCUCACUGUACAUUUUUCGUGUCUUUUUUAACUGCACUUUUCGUUUAACAAGUCAACAUCAGUUUCUUUUGUUGUAAAAGGGUCAUUGGAAGGUGGCUUUCUUUUCGGAGAAAGUGUUUAUAGCCUUUGGCCUCUGCAAUCGGAGAGACUGAGGUCUGCAGCGUAGACUCUUCGGGGUUAGAUACAUUUGUGCUAAGUUAUAGCUUUUUAUAGACAACUUGUUGACUAUAAUUAGUCUUGUAGCUUACUCGCUUAUGCUAUUUUACCUACGCUUAGGAUGUUGAAGAUGUAGCACAUCAU